GACGAACCGUGCGAACGUUGUUCGGAAUCACUGGGCUUAAAGGGCGCGUAGGCGGGCUGCCAAGUCCGGGGUGAAAUCUUUCGGCUCAACCGGAAAAGUGCCUUGGAUACUGGCGGCCUUGAGGGAGGUAGGGGUAUGUGGAACUUCCGGUGGAGCGGUGAAAUGCGUUGAUAUCGGAAGGAACGCCGGUGGCGAAAGCGACGUACUGGACCUCGUCUGACGCUGAGGCGCGAAAGCUAGGGGAGCGAACGGG
rnacentral:rRNA from 1 species